rnacentral:sRNA from 1 species
UUUACAUGGGCCAUUCCUUCAACCUCCCAAGAUCCUUGCCACUUCUUUCCCCUCUGCAACUCUCAGGUAAAGAUCGUAUCACCUAACACCCAGCCUCUGCCAGCACUGGAUUCCUGGACUAAAGCAGCUCCUGAGACCAGACACAAGCUAUUUAGUUAAAUGAACAACUCAAUUCAGUAAUCACAGAUGCUCCCAAACCCUGGCGACAAGGAAUUUCCACGAGACAAAGGAGUCCUGCCAAGCAGAGCUGGUUUUCAAAGACCGGCAAACCCACAAGGAAACAACUCACUGUGAGGGGAGAGAAGACAGGACCACUAGGACGCCAACAAGUGGGGCGCUGGUUUACAAGAGCUACGAGCAAAUACUCAGAACACUACAGAACCGCCUUGAAGGUUCGUAGGUAAGACUGAGCUAUACUGGUUCUCCAGUAUAUCGGGGUGACAUAAAGAAGCCAAGUUUUGUUCAUGAUCCUAGGCCAGACCACACCCAGAUUGAGAUGUGGGAUAAGACAAGCCCAUGACAAACUAAGGGUGGUGGGUGAGCCACAAGAUGACAGCCUUUUCUGGGCUAUAGGAGUCAGAUAAGCAGGGAGUCAAGGAAAGGCUCACAAGAGGACACGUUCAUUCCUCACAGCUUCCCAGGGAGCCACGAGGGUCAGCACGCUGAAGCAACCCUGGGUGCCUGCGUCCCUGACUUUGAAGGCUGGUGAGAAAUUCCGUCUCAGACGUUCCCCUCUGCUUCAGCACAAGAACGCUGAGAAAUAGUCUCCGUUUGGGUGCCUGUAAAGCACUCAUUGUCCAGGCCUAUGAUGUGAUUCAUGACGACAGCUGCUCCACACCCUCCCCACACGGUGGCAAUUAAGGGUCGUUUGUCAUAACUCCAAAGCCAAGGUCCAGUCCUUUCACUAAAUCCCCAUUUAUCCCAACCCUCUUGUCAGAGAAGGAGUAAAUCGAGAUUCCUGAGGAUGAGGAUCGCUUGUCUAGAGCCACCGCGUGUUUAUCCAAUAAUGCAGCAAAGCUUUCCCACUUUUUGGACCAGCGGUAUUUCCGCUGGCAC